UAUUAUCGACACAACGUUAAGAAUUGGAAAUUUGACAUGCUGAAAACGUUACUCUUUCGCGGUCAGUGAACUAUAGUAGCCUAAACCCUAUGGGUAUGCGAAAGUAAAUUAGCUUACUAGCUAACUGUCCUAGCGAGAUGCCUGACUGACCUACGUCAACGUUACAGCUGAGUAGCCUAACGUUAGCCUAAACAUAGCUAUUGCUCAUAGGCGAAACUAACUAAUAGGCUACAAACAAAAAUUAAUAACCAAAAAGACGAACAGACAGGUAACACACUCGCUACGUUAUGACAGCGAUGAGUAAGACCUGCGAUGUGCUUACUGGUAGCUAGUGACAGCUACGUUACAUUAUUGCUAAUGCUAUUUCAUGGUGUAGAUCCAUUUAACAAUAUCAUGUCAUCAAAGCAAUUGAGGAAGUAUCUUACAACUGACAUUUCACGAGGUCUCAGACACUCCUGUACAACUGAUCUGCUCAAGCCCAACAUCCAACAUUUCUCGUAGGCUAGCUUGCGCAACAUCUGUGAGAUGGCAUUUAUUGGGUUCAUUUGGCACAGGGACUAUUGCAUGCCUUCAUCUCAUCACACCUGGAUUACUCGUGUGUGUAUGCUGAAAGCAUUUGAUGGCAAGUGGUAAAGUUGCAGCCCAUCUGAGAACACAAGCUGUGCACUGGUGAGUGUGGUAACCUGACAACGAUCACAGUUUUCUCUGACUCCACAGUGAUCCUCCCUUGUUGCUUUGACAACAGCAUGAAUGACCCUGUGCUUUGGAGCAAAGACGGGGAAUGCAUCGUCCGCAUCCACAGCUUAAACAGAGUCGAUUUCCUGAACCAUAAGAUGGGCAGAUUGACUGUGUUUUUGUCUCAGAGAGGAAUUUUUUCACUUCGCAUUGACCGGUUCCAGGCUUCAGAUGUGGGUGUGUAUUGCUGUGAGUGGGGAAACCAGUGCAGGGUAGUGGAGGUCAAGCAGGUGCAACGGAAUACUGCGAAGCCCCCAGGGUAACUGCAUCUUGUACAUUAAGCAAUGCACAUCAUAAUGUAGACCAUUAUGCUGCUGAGACAAGAUAAGGCUGGCAGAUCUCAAUGUCGGGUUUCAAACAAGGCUGGAAUUAAGGUCCUAUGAGGCCCCACCGCAAUACAUGUCUAGUAAGCUUAAACUUAAUACUUAGGCCACUUAAUACAUGUGACAGGAGAAAGUAGUUCUAACAUGUAAUGUCAGUAUGUAUUUUAACAUAUCUGAUUGCUUUCCUUGCUUAACCCCUUGUUAAUAUCUCUUUGUGUAGGUGAUUUUGUAGUUGAACAUGACAUGACCACAUUAUGUUCGCAGCAGUCAGUGAGAUUUGGAACUUUCUGUUUGGCACAUCCUGAAGCAUCCACGUCUGAACUGACAGGUGAGAGACACUCUUCAACAAAGACUGCUUUAACAGUGAGAAUGAUCUGAGAAAGUUAUAUCGCAGACUAAGAAACAUACUGUAAUAUCAUGAGUUAUAGUGGUGGGCUUGUUUAAAGGUGCUGUGAGAAUUUUCCAUAGUUUAAAACACCCCAAAUAACCUAGAA